rnacentral:rRNA from 1 species
UGCCUGCACCAUCGACCGACCAUGAUCUUCUGUGAAGGUUUGAGUACGAGCAUACCUGUUGGGACCCGAAAGAUGGUGAACUAUGCCUGAGCAGGGCGAAGCCAGAGGAAACUCUGGUGGAGGCUCGUAGAUGUGCUGACGUGCAAAUCGCUUUUCGGACUUGGGUAUAGGGGCGAAAGACUACUAGUAGCUGGUUCCCUCCGAAGUUUCCCCCAGGAUAGCUGGAGCUUGAUCAGUUUUAUCGGGUAAAGCGAAUGAUUAGAGGUACCGGGGAUGAAACAUCCUCGACCUAUUCUCAAACUUUAAAUAGGUAAGACGUCUGGGUUGCUUAAUUGAACCCAGGCAUUCAAUGAGAGCUCCAAGUGGGCCAUUU